UACAUACUCCCUCCGUCCCAAAAAUUUUGUCUUAAAUUUGUCUAAAAAUGAAUGUAUCUAAAUACUAAUACAUGACUAUAUACAUUUAUAUUUAGACAAAUUAAAGACAGGAAUUUUGGAACGGAGAAAGUAUACA
rfam:Hordeum vulgare subsp. vulgare, WGS project CAJW01000000 data, contig: morex_contig_134652